GUGAAUCAUCGAAUCUUUGAACGCACAUUGCGCCUCUCUUUCGAGGGGCAUGCCUGUCUGAGCGUCAUUUAAACCAAUGGACUAGAUCCGUGUUGGGCCUCGCCCCGUGGGCGUCGCCUCAAGGCCAUCGGUCUUAAGAGCGGACGAGUUCCUUUAGGACAGACCGUUCGAUGACCCGAGUAUAUUUCUGAAUUGACCUCAGAUCAGGUAGGAAUACCGCCUGAACUUAAGCAUAUCAAUAAGCGGAGGA
rnacentral:misc_RNA from 1 species